GAGGAAAAGUGGACGACAGAGAAUGAGAUGGCUGGAUGGCAUCACUGACUCAAUGCACUGCCUCUAGAUAAAAUUCAUUCCUAAUGGAGGAAUUCAGUAUUUUGCACAGAAUUCUUUUGGACCUAGAAAGUUCAUCACAGGAAUUCCAUCUAACAAUAGUUUCCUAUGUAAUACUUGGGAAAACUCUCAGUUGGCAUCUGCAUGUCCUCUUUGCUGCUAAGUUACUUCAGUCGUGUCCGACUCUGUGUGACCCCGUAGACGGCAGCCACCAGGCUCCCCCAUCCCUGGGAUUCUCCAGGCAAGAACACUGGAGUGGGUUGCCAUUGCCUUCUCCAAUGC
ensembl:lncRNA